CGCCUGCCCGUGAUAAAUUCAACGGCCGCGGUAUCAUGACCGUGCAAAGGUAGCGUAAUCACUUGUCUUUUAAAUAAGGACCCGUAUGAAAGGCAAAACGAAAAUUCAACUGUCUCUUUAAUCUAGUCAGUGAAAUUAAUCUCUUCGUGCAGAAGCGAAGAUAACCAUAUAAGACGAGAAGACCCUAUGGAGCUUAAAAUAUAAGACCAACUACAUUGAUGUAAAACCAACAGGUGAAAGAUGGAUACAUGUAGUCAUAGCCUGAGUUUUCGGUUGGGGCGACCACGGAAGAAAAAUAAUCCUCCGAGAUAAACAACUUAGAAAGAUACUUCAAAGACUAAAAUACUUAUUAUAAAUGAUCCACUAAGUGACCAACAAACCAAGUUACCCUAGGGAUAACAGCGCAAUCCUUUCUAAGAGUCCCUAUCGACGAAUGGGUUUACGACCUCGAUGUUGGAUCAGGACACCCAAAUGGUGCAGCCGCUAUUAAAGGUUCGUUUGUUCAACGAUUAAAGUCCUACGUGAUCUGAGUUCAGACCGG
rnacentral:rRNA from 1 species